UGGUGGGUUCUCUAAACAAUGACGUAUAAUCGCAGGGAUACGGUGUUUACAAGUACGUCGACAAGUAUGGAGCUAACGUCGAUGGAUACAGG
rnacentral:sRNA from 1 species